rnacentral:rRNA from 1 species
UUAGAGUUUGAUCCUGGCUCAGGAUGAACGCUAGCGGCAGGCUUAACACAUGCAAGUCGAGGGGCAGCGGGUGUAGCAAUACAUGCCGGCGACCGGCGCAAGGGUGCGUAACGCGUGAGCAAUCUGCCCGUAUCAGGGGGAUAAGCGAUGGAAACGUCGUCUAAUACCGCAUAACACCAAUGAUGGCAUCAUCGAUGGUUGAAAGCUUCGGUGGAUACGGAUGAGCUCGCGAGACAUUAGUUAGUUGGCGGGGUAACGGCCCACCAAGACCGCGAUGUCUAGGGGAACUGAGAGGUUGGUCCCCCACACUGGAACUGAGACACGGUCCAGACUCCUACGGGAGGCAGCAGUGAGGAAUAUUGGACAAUGGCCGGAAGGCUGAUCCAGCCAUGCCGCGUGAAGGAAUAAGGUCCUAUGGAUUGUAAACUUCUUUUGUACGAGAGCAAUAAGUGUCACGAGUGACACGAUGAGAGUAUCGUACGAAUAAGCAUCGGCUAACUCCGUGCCAGCAGCCGCGGUAAUACGGAGGAUGCGAGCGUUAUCCGGAUUUAUUGGGUUUAAAGGGUGCGUAGGCGGGAUUUUAAGUCAGCGGUGAAACGCAAGGGCUCAACCCUUGACCUGCCGUUGAAACUGGAGUUCUUGAAUGCGGAUGCUGUGGGAGGAAUGUGUGGUGUAGCGGUGAAAUGCAUAGAUAUCACACAGAACACCGAUUGCGAAGGCAUCUCACAAAUCCGUGAUUGACGCUGAGGCACGAAAGUGUGGGUAUCGAACAGGAUUAGAUACCCUGGUAGUCCGCACGGUAAACGAUGGAUGCUCGCUGUCGGCGAUACAUUGUCGGCGGCCUAGUGAAAGCAUUAAGCAUCCCACCUGGGGAGUACGCCGGCAACGGUGAAACUCAAAGGAAUUGACGGGGGCCCGCACAAGCGGAGGAACAUGUGGUUUAAUUCGAUGAUACGCGAGGAACCUUACCCGGGCUUGAAUUGCAGGUUUUGGACCAGAGAUGGUCUUUUCCCUUCGGGGUGCCUGUGAAGGUGCUGCAUGGUUGUCGUCAGCUCGUGCCGUGAGGUGUCGGCUUAAGUGCCAUAACGAGCGCAACCCCUUUCAUUAGUUGCCAUCACUUCGGGUGGGCACUCUGGUGAUACUGCCACCGUAAGGUGUGAGGAAGGUGGGGAUGACGUCAAAUCAGCACGGCCCUUACGUCCGGGGCUACACACGUGUUACAAUGGGUGAUACAGAUGGCCGGUUCACGGCAACGUGGAUCAAAUCUUGAAAGUCAUCCUCAGUUCGGAUAGGGGUCUGCAACCCGACCCCACGAAGCUGGAUUCGCUAGUAAUCGCGCAUCAGCCAUGGCGCGGUGAAUACAAUGCCGGGCCUUGCACUCACCGCCCGUCA